UCUGUGCGGUAACUUAGAUGCACAGUCUGACCUGCCCACUGAAUAAUUUGAAGGGCCGCGGUAUCUGAACCGUGCUAAGGUAGCAUAAUAAAUAGUCUUUUAAUUGAGGUCUAGUAUGAAUGGUUGGACAUGAAGUAAUCUGUUUUAAUUGUAAGAUUUGAAUUUUACUUUUAAGUGAAAAGGCUUAAAUUAUAUGGUGGGACGAUAAGACCCUAUAAAGCUUUACAUUUUAUUUGUUGGUUGGAGAAUUUAAGGUUUUCUAUUCCUGUUGAGUUAAAGUGUUUCAUUGGGGCGAUGAGAAUAUAAAUUAGUAACUGUUUUAUUUUAAAAAUAGAUUUUUUUAGUAAAGUUGAUCCUUUUUAAAGAUUACAAGAAUAAAGUUACUUUAGGGAUAACAGCGUAAUUUUUCUUGAGAGUUCAUAUCGACAGAAAUAGUUGCGACCUCGAUGUUGAAUUAAGAUUCCCCCAAGGUGUAGCAGUUUUGGGUGGUAGGUCUGUUCGACCUUUAAAAU
rnacentral:rRNA from 1 species